rnacentral:sRNA from 1 species
UUUUUGAUGUUGUUGUCAAUAUAUGAUUAAAUAGAAUUAUAAAUUAUUUGAUGAAACGAGUUGUGUUCAAAAUUAGACUCUGAUCGAUAUGCAUCACCAAAAAUUAGCUUAACCAGAAUUAAAAUAUGGUAAAAAUCUUAGAGCAUCCCCAGCGUAUAUCUUAGCCUAAUCUUAGCAAACAUCUUAGCAUUAAAAGCAAUUAUAAUUAAUCAAACCAAUUAAGAUAUGUAUUUUAACUAAGAUGUUUUUCUUAAGGUAAGAAUGACACAUGUGUCAUUGGAAUAGUAAUUUGUUA